UACGGAGGGUGCAAGCGUUAAUCGGAAUUACUGGGCGUAAAGCGCACGCAGGCGGUUUGUUAAGUCAGAUGUGAAAUCCCCGAGCUUAACUUGGGAACUGCAUUUGAAACUGGCAAGCUAGAGUCUUGUAGAGGGGGGUAGAAUUCCAGGUGUAGCGGUGAAAUGCGUAGAGAUCUGGUGGAAUACCGGUGGCGAAGGCGGCCCCCUGGACAAAGACUGACGCUCAGGUGCGAAAGAGUGGGGAGCAAACAGG
rnacentral:rRNA from 1 species